AUACGUAGGGUGCGAGCGUUGUCCGGAAUUACUGGGCGUAAAGAGCUCGUAGGUGGUUUGUCGCGUCGUCUGUGAAAUUCCGGGGCUUAACUCCGGGCGUGCAGGCGAUACGGGCAUAACUUGAGUACUGUAGGGGAGACUGGAAUUCCUGGUGUAGCGGUGAAAUGCGCAGAUAUCAGGAGGAACACCGGUGGCGAAGGCGGGUCUCGGGGCAGUAACUGACGCGGAGGAGCGAAAGCAUGGGUAGCGAACAGGAUGAGAUACCCUGGUAGUCCAGGCCGUAAACGGUGGGCGCUAGGUGUAGGGGUCUUCCACGACUUCUGUGCCGUAGCUAACGCAUUAAGCGCCCCGCCUGGGGAGUACGGCCGCAAGGCUAAAACUCAAAGGAAUUGACGGGG
rnacentral:rRNA from 1 species